rnacentral:lncRNA from 1 species
UCCCUGUCCUCUCCAAAUCCCACCGUGUUUGCUUAUAGAACUGGCUAGAGGGCGGGGCGUUGGGGACUAUGCUGAGCACUUUCCUCGCACCAUCUUGCAGAAGCACCACCACCCUCCACCCAGGAGUCAGGAUCCACUUCUCAGAGGAGGACACUGAGGGCCCAGCAAGCUCCUGAAUCAAGGGUGUUGAUUCUUCUGCUAGCCGGUGGCAGCUUAGAAACGGAACUAAUUUCAUGAAAUUAACAGUGUGAUCUCCUUUCCAGGUGUGAGUAGGAGCCGAGAUUCUUACCUGUUCAGGUGUCUGCCUGGCCUGGAGGUCACCAACUGAGACCAGAUGUGGGGCAGCUCCAUGCAUGGUGGUGGGGGCGUGGGGGUCCCUGACGAUCUCACAUGCACUCACCGGAGCCCUGUCCCAGGCUUGUCUGCUGGGGGUAAGGGGGCAGAUGAUGGAAACAGCUGCUCAAGGGACUCCACAAUGUGAGGUCACGAGUGGACAGAAAACGAGAAAACCAGGCAGAGGGCAGCAGGACUUUGUGCUCUGGAUGUACCAUACGGUGGAGUGGAGCAGAGUUAGACGAGGUUCCAGAGUGAGUCAUACAGGCUGCAGAGAAGACAACAAAUGAAGGUAUGUUCUGUGUUACCUGCUGUGUAAGAAGGAAGGAGAGAAUCUGCAUCUGUGUCCACUUAGCUUCUGAUACAUGCAUACGCUCAUCUUUGCAGAAAAACAGGAGGGCUACCGCAGAACUGGAAGAUUACUUCCUAUGUGAGUGACAGUCGGAGUGAUGAAGAGGGAGUGACCCUUUUCUGGCUAUGUGUCAUUUUAUAUUUAUAACUUUUGAAUAAAAUAAUAUUUAACUCAAAUAAAUGAAUAUUU